CUGUAUUGCUUUUGCAUGGCCUGGAGAAAUUUGAAUUUGCUCGGUGCCUCUUCUUCCAUAGGGGUAACACUAGUGAGCCAGAAGCGACCAGGUGCGUAUCGUUAGAGGUGCAGAGCGGCGUCCCGCAUAGACCCGCAAAAGUGCUUAAUUAGUACAACUUUGCCAACAGCAGCACAGCCUAAUUAGAACUAGCUUCUUCUAAUUUGUAUACGGAGCAGGACGGGUUCGGGCGCCGCCUUGCAUCCCUACGUAUCAUUCAGAUACAGGAAUGAUUCUUUGCAUGGCACUACACAAUCCAUCACAGACAUACAAUAUCCGAUGAGAAUAAACUUCAUUAAUGAAGCCCAGGAGAACAUCAUUUUAAUAAAUAAAAAUAUAUGAGAAUGAAACUAUAAAAUCACAUAGUAUGAAAGAGAUUCUAGAAAAACAUAGUAUGAAAGAGCUUGAUUGUUGUUACUCGAAAGAACAUGUAGGGUUUUUUCAUCUAUGAAGAAUUAGCAUAGCCUUAUUCAGAUCAAAAACUGAUUUUUGGAAGAAGAAAAAAGUCAUAUUCUGAACAAUGCGUGAUGCAUUUCUAUGCCAACUCAGUACUAGACAGGAUAUCAGUGUAGGAUCCAAAAUGCUGCCAAAGAAGAAUGAUAUAGUUUCAUAUAUUUUUAAUACACAGAUAGACAGCGAGAUAUGGCACAUUUCAUCAUCUCACCACAAGAGAUGAGAACAUUUCACACAUUGCCAGCUUUGAAACAACAUGUCCUAGUAACUAGUACAAAAAAAUACCUAUAAAAGUUCAACUUAACAUAUAUAAUUUUCUAGUUAAUGUGAUAUAAUAGAUUAUUCUUUGACCAAAUGCGCAUGUACCUCUUUUUCGCAGAAUCAGAAAGGAUGACUCAGAAGAAACAGUUCGAUCAUUGACGCUCAUUCAUAGAAAAGGGGUGCAGCUAUAAAUUAGAAUCAUGUAUCUUCUGGUGGUCAUAUCUAAGGCAGAUCAUUGGUAUUUAAUGUGUGCUUGGAUAAUAAUUUCAUAUUUUCCCAUGACAUGGAAUUGCGGAACAACGACAUGAAUAUGUCUAACAACGUAAACUAAAUUUUCGAGCCCUCACAAACACAUUUACCUAUAUUUACUCUGAUAUAGUCCACAUAUGAAAUGUUUGCUAACAUCAAAUAUUUAGGAGACAUAACUGGCACCUCAGACUAUUAUGUAGGAUGAUAAAUAUCGUGAUCAAACAGCAAAGAAGUCCACUUGAUUGGGACACUUCCACAGAAGCCAUGGCAGCAAGGCAGCACUAUUCUGAAAACAAAACUAUACUUGCAGUUACUGCUGAAAACAAAUGUGUGGUAGCAUUAUCCCUACAUUAUUCCAAAUUUAUAAUAUACCAGCCAGUUAAAUAUUUUUUUUGAGGGGUACCAGCCAGUUAAGUGGAUACAAGAUUGUAUGGUGUGAAUUGUUCAAAAUAGCAAAAAUCUCAGUAGCACUGGAUGAACUUAAAUGGCAGUAAUGAAUGAUGACUACUUCAAGAGGUUGCAUUGGAUACGUGAGAGUACCAUGAUUUCUCUUCAAGAUUAUUCAGGUUUCUCUUCAAACAUCACUCUAGCAUAUGAAAGCGUGGCUUGGUUUUAUCAAUAGUUAGAUCGUCACACUGUUAAAUGUAACUAUUUGCCACUUACUAGUUUACAAACUAGCUAUGUUAUUCUAGUAGAUAAGUCCCUCUGUUUGUAUUAUGAGUGCCACACAAUUGCAUCACCUUGACAUGGAUUAAGCAGAUUGGCUGUAGAGUACAUGGAAACAUCCAAUGGCACUACCACAACCACAGUGUAGUUGCUUUAUAUAGACAUGGCAUGAUAUAUGUAGAAGAUAUGCAUGUGAGGGUGAACAAUGGACCACAGUGCUACUAGUACCAGAGUCU
rnacentral:lncRNA from 1 species